rnacentral:rRNA from 1 species
GACGAACGCUGGCGGCGUGCCUAAUACAUGCAAGUCGAACGCUUCUUUUUCCACCGGAGCUUGCUCCACCGGAAAAAGAGGAGUGGCGAACGGGUGAGUAACACGUGGGUAACCUGCCCAUCAGAAGGGGAUAACACUGGGAAACAGGUGCUAAUACCGUAUAACAAUCAAAACCGCAUGGUUUUGAUUUGAAAGGAGCUUUCGGGUGUCGCGGAUGGAUGGACCCGCGGUGCAUUAGCUAGUUGGUGAGGUAACGGCUCACCAAGGCCACGAUGCAUAGCCGACCUGAGAGGGUGAUCGGCCACAUUGGGACUGAGACACGGCCCAAACUCCUACGGGAGGCAGCAGUAGGGAAUCUUCGGCAAUGGACGAAAGUCUGACCGAGCAACGCCGCGUGAGUGAAGAAGGUUUUCGGAUCGUAAAACUCUGUUUUUAGAGAAGAACAAGGAUGAGAGUAACUGUUCAUCCCUUGACGGUAUCUAACCAGAAAGCCACGGCUAACUACGUGCCAGCCGCCGCCGUAA